rnacentral:rRNA from 1 species
UCAAGCGAAUAAGCGCACACGGUGGAUGCCUAGGCGGUCAGAGGCGAUGAAGGACGUGGUAGCCUGCGAAAAGUGUCGGGGAGCUGGCAACAAGCUUUGAUCCGGCAAUAUCCGAAUGGGGAAACCCACUGCUUCGGCAGUAUCCUGCAGUGAAUUCAUAGCUGCUGGAAGCGAACCCGGUGAACUGAAAUAUCUAAGUAACCGGAGGAAAAGAAAUCAACCGAGAUUCCCUAAGUAGUGACGAGCGAACGGGGAGCAGCCCUUAAGCUGGAAUGGCUUUAGAAAAACAAUCUGGAAAGAUUGGCCAUAGAAGGUGAUAGCCCUGUAUUUAAAAGGGCCACUCCAGUGAAGACGAGUAGGGCGGGGCACGUGAAACCCUGUCUGAAUAUGGGGGGACCAUCCUCCAAGGCUAAAUACUCCUGACCGACCGAUAGUGAACCAGUACCGUGAGGGAAAGGCGAAAAGAACCCCGGAGAGGGGAGUGAAAUAGAUCCUGAAACCGUGUGCGUACAAGCAGUAGGAGCUCGCAAGAGUGACUGCGUACCUUUUGUAUAAUGGGUCAGCGACUUACUGUUCGUGGCAAGCUUAACCGUAUAGGGGAGGCGAAGGGAAACCGAGUCUGAUAAGGGCGCAUAGUCGCGGGCAGUAGACCCGAAACCGGGUGAUCUAGUCAUGGCCAGGGUGAAGGUGCCGUAACAGGUACUGGAGGCCCGAACCCACGUCUGUUGCAAAAGACGGGGAUGAGCUGUGAUUAGGAGUGAAAAGCUAAUCGAACCCGGAGAUAGCUGGUUCUCCUCGAAAGCUAUUUAGGUAGCGCCUCGGACGAAUACUACUGGGGGUAGAGCACUGUUAUGGCUAGGGGGUCAUCGCGACUUACCAAACCAUUGCAAACUCCGAAUACCAGUACGUACUAUCCGGGAGACACACGGCGGGUGCUAACGUCCGUCGUGAAAAGGGAAACAACCCAGACCCACAGCUAAGGUCCCAAAUUCACUGCUAAGUGGAAAACGAUGUGGAAAGGCAUAGACAGCCAGGAGGUUGGCUUAGAAGCAGCCACCCUUUAAAGAAAGCGUAAUAGCUCACUGGUCGAGUCGGUCUGCGCGGAAGAUUUAACGGGGCUAAGCAGUGAACCGAAGCUUGGGGUGCGUAAAACUUCGGUUUUAUGCGCGGUAGAGGAGCGUUCCGUAAGCCUGCGAAGGUGGAUUGAGAAGUCCGCUGGAGGUAUCGGAAGUGCGAAUGCUGACAUGAGUAACGAUAAUGCGGGUGAAAAGCCCGCACGCCGAAAGCCCAAGGUUUCCUUGCGCAACGUUAAUCGACGCAGGGUUAGUCGGUCCCUAAGGCGAGGGCGAAAGCCGUAGUCGAUGGGAAGCAGGUUAAUAUUCCUGCACCUCGCGUGAGUGCGAUGGAGGGACGGAGAAGGUUAGGUGUACCGGGCGUUGGUUGUCCCGGGGAAAGGCGGUAGGUUUGGAUCUUUGGCAAAUCCGGGAUCCUUUAAGACCGAGCACCGAGACGAGCCUUUAUGGCGAAGUCACUGAUACCACGCUUCCAGGAAAAGCUCCUAAGCUUCAGCUCACGAAGACCGUACCGUAAACCGACACAGGUGGGUAGGAUGAGAAUUCUCAGGCGCUUGAGAGAACUCGGGUGAAGGAACUAGGCAACAUGGCACCGUAACUUCGGGAGAAGGUGCACCCUUUUUGGUGGCUCAUGCGAGCUAUAGCUGAAGAGGGUCGCAGAAACCAGGCCGCUGCGACUGUUUAUCAAAAACACAGCACUCUGCAAACACGAAAGUGGACGUAUAGGGUGUGACGCCUGCCCGGUGCUGGAAGGUUAAUUGAUGGGGUCAGCCGCAAGGCGAAGCUCUUGAUCGAAGCCCCAGUAAACGGCGGCCGUAACUAUAACGGUCCUAAGGUAGCGAAAUUCCUUGUCGGGUAAGUUCCGACCUGCACGAAUGGCGUAACGACAGCGGCGCUGUCUCCACCCGAGACUCAGUGAAAUUGAAAUCGCUGUGAAGAUGCAGCGUCCCCGUGGCAAGACGGAAAGACCCCGUGAACCUUUACUAUAGCUUUACACUGAACGUUGAGUUCGUCUGUGUAGGAUAGGUGGGAGGCUAUGAAACUGUGGCGCUAGCUGCAGUGGAGCCAUCCUUGAAAUACCACCCUGUCGUGCUUGACGUUCUAACCUAGAUCCGUUAUCCGGAUCAGGGACCGUGUAUGGUGGGUAGUUUGACUGGGGCGGUCUCCUCCUAAAGAGUAACGGAGGAGCACGAAGGUACGCUCAGCGCGGUCGGACAUCGCGCACUGUGUGCAAAGGCAUAAGCGUGCUUGACUGCAAGAUCGACGGAUCAAGCAGGUACGAAAGUAGGUCUUAGUGAUCCGGUGGUUCUGUAUGGAAGGGCCAUCGCUCAACGGAUAAAAGGUACUCCGGGGAUAACAGGCUGAUACCGCCCAAGAGUUCAUAUCGACGGCGGUGUUUGGCACCUCGAUGUCGGCUCAUCACAUCCUGGGGCUGUAGUCGGUCCCAAGGGUAUGGCUGUUCGCCAUUUAAAGUGGUACGCGAGCUGGGUUCAGAACGUCGUGAGACAGUUCGGUCCCUAUCUGCCAUGGGCGUUGGAAGUUUGAGAGGGGCUGCUCCUAGUACGAGAGGACCGGAGUGGACGAACCUCUGGUGUUCCGGUUGUCACGCCAGUGGCAUUGCCGGGUAGCUAUGUUCGGAAGCGAUAACCGCUGAAAGCAUCUAAGCGGGAAGCGCGCCUCAAGAUGAGACUUCCCGGGGCACAAGCCCCCUAAAGGAACCAUAUAGACUAUGUGGUUGAUAGGUCAGGUGUGUAAGUACAGCAAUGUAUUGAGCUAACUGAUACUAAUGAUCCGUGCGGCUUGACCAU